rnacentral:misc_RNA from 1 species
CAGAGUUCAUGCCCUAACGGGUAGAUCUCCCACCCUUGAAUACAUACCUUUGUUGCUUUGGCGGGCCGCUUCGGCUACUGGCUCCGGCUAGUGAGUGCCCGCCAGAGGACCCAAAACUCUGAAUUAUAGUGUCGUCUGAGUACUAUAUAAUAGUUA